AGAGGCCAGUAUAGGGCACUAGGGAAACACAGUAUUUGCAGUGAAUAAAUCCACUUCCCCUUUUCAAUACCUUUAUCAGUUGCAAUAGAGUACUUUCCCCGUUGAUACUUUCGCUUUCCGUUUAACACCCGGUUAACAUACACGUCAGUGUGCAGAUGCAUGAUGGUCACUGCUAUCUUAGGCUCCCGAGUUGCGCAACGGUCUGAGGCACCCGCAUCUCAGUGCUUGAGGCGUCACUACAUACAACCCUGGUUUGAAUCCAGGCUGUAUCACAACCGUCCCCGUGAUUGUAAAACUAUAUGUUGCUGUAGCAUCUCUAUAGAAACUGUAUAGAUGACAACAACAACAACCUAAUCGUUAUCGAGCUGGAGCUAGCUUAGAGCAUCAGGCUAGCUGUGUGCAGACCAAUCAAUCCCUGGCCUUACAGUGCUAUAGGGUCCUGUAUGUUAGUGUAAAUGCGUAGAGCCUCCACUCUGCAUGGUGUUCUAAUCUAGGAGGUGAGUGUUAGCUUUAGCUGUGUGUUAGCAUGUUAGUGUAAAUGCGUAGAGCCUCCACUCUGCAUGGUGUUCUAUUCUAGGAGGUGAGUGUUAGCUUUAGCUGUGUGUUAGCAUGUUAGUGUAAAUGCGUAGAGCCUCCACUCUGCAUGGUGUUCUAUUCUAGGAGGUGAGUGUUAGCUUUAGUUGUGUGUUAGCAUGUUAGUGUAAAUGCGUAGAGCCUCCACUCUGCAUGGUGUUCUAUUCUAGGAGGUGAGUGUUAGCUUUAGCUGUGUGUUAGCAUGUUAGUGUAAAUGCGUAGAGCCUCCACUCUGCAUGGUGUUCUAUUCUAGGAGGUGAGUGUUAGCUUUAGUUGUGUGUUAGCAUGUUAGUGUAAAUGCGUAGAGCCUCCACUCUGCAUGGUGUUCUAUUCUAGGAGGUGAGUGUUAGCUUUAGUUGUGUGUUAGCAUGUUAGUGUAAAUGCGUAGAGCCUCCACUCUGCAUGGUGUUCUAUUCUAGGAGGUGAGUGUUAGCUUUAGUUGUGUGUUAGCAUGUUAGUGUAAAUGCGUAGAGCCUCCACUCUGCAUGGUGUUCUAUUCUAGGAGGUGAGUGUUAGCUUUAGUUGUGUGUUAGCAUGUUAGUGUAAAUGCGUAGAGCCUCCACUCUGCAUGGUGUUCUAUUCUAGGAGGUGAGUGUUAGCUUUAGCUGUGUGUUAGCAUGUUAGUGUAAAUGUGUAGAGCCUCCACCCUGCAUGGUGUUAGCUUUAGCUGUGGGAAGUAGGGCUGCAGAGGGUGCUGCAACACCCUCUGAAAAAUCUGAUAACAAAAAAUAAAAAAAAUAAUAUUAAUUUUGAAAAUAAAUUUAAAUAAUUAUUUUUUUCUCACAAAAGUAGCGCAGAUAAUAUCUGUCUGCAGCGUGGGUAAAAAGACUACUAAACUACUUCCACCGGCUAUGAGUGUAUGGAGUGUGUAAUGAGUGUGUAAUGAGUGUGUAAUGAGUGUGUAAUGAGUGUGUAAUGAAUGUUACCAGACUAGGUGUGGGGAAAGGAAACCCUGUAUGGCAUGCUAGGUUAGAGUGGAACCCCAUCCCCCUUGUGUGUUAGGCUGCAUGCUAACCCUGGGUGUGGGGGGGGAUUUGUGUGUUUAAUCAAGGCCUCCUCUCUAACCCAAGUAAGCCAGGGACAGCUGUUGUGACAGGCAGAGAGAUAGACAGCUCUGUAAUUACACCGGGAGGAACCAGAUUCCUGCAGGAAGGCUAUAUACCUGUUGCUCCUACCUCCUCCACACUGAAAUACAAACGUACAGUUCAUUCGGGAAAAGUAUUCAGACGUGUUGACUUUGUUCCACAUUUUGUUACGUUACAGACAUAUUCUAAAAGGAAUAAUAAGAAAUAAAAAGUAGCUCAUCUAUCUACACACAAUGAAUCAUCUAUCUAGCCCCAUAAUGACAAACAAAAAAAUUUUUUUUUUUGACAGACAGACGGACAUAACAGACACACAGAACAGACAGACAGAACAGACAGACA